AUGGGUUAAUGCACACGUACUAAAAAUUUGGAACCACACAGUGAAGAUGAGCGUGGCAGCCGUGCAAGGAUGACACGCGGAGACCCGGGAGCUUCUGCAGGUGGAC
rnacentral:snRNA from 1 species